GAAUGCACCGGUGCUUCAGUUCCUCACCGCGGAGCGGCUCUAAUGAACGCUCUUCUGUCCUAAACACCUCCCAUGGCAUAUGCAGGGGCACUGCCUUCACAUUCACCUAGAGGAGUUGCAGCCACCUACAGCACAUCAGCCAGAUGUGAGCCCACAAGGAACAGAGGUGUUUUUGUCACAGGUGUGUUUGUCCCUGCACAUCGUGGGUCUCUUCAACUGACUGCACAAUGCUGAUGGCAGAGCCAGGGUGAAGAUGGACCAUGCUGGAAUUUCCUUCUUGCAGUCUGAUGUACCUCAGAAAAUGACACUGAACAGCUCAGAAUAUCUCUGAGGUGACGGUAUGGUCACCCAUCUGUAUCUCGCCUGGGAGCAUUUUGCAGACCUUUUGAGGUUUAGUUGCUCAAAACAUCUUAAAAUUAUGUUUCACAUGAACUUGUGCUCAUCUUUAUCUCUCAGUGGAGACAGCAGUGCUGAAGCAGUAAUCCCCCCUGGGACUCCCUACCUAAUGUAUUCUCUAAGUGAUCAAGACAUUUUGCUUACCUUCUCAUCCACAAAAAGAGAAGUAUGUGUCUUACUAAGAUUUGAACAAUGAAAAUCAGAGCAAAGGGCCGUAAUGAAACAGACUAAUGAAGAAAAGCCCAGGUAAUUAACAUGUAAAAGUUAAUUAUUGCAGGCAUUACAUGUGGACUGAUCUGUUUUAUCCACACACAAGCUUGGCUGUUUGCUGGAAUAUGGCAGGGUACACUGAGCACCAUGGGCUUACUCAGCAUGCUUCACACCACAGCUAUGCAUUCAUUCUGAUGAUCAGAUAAUCCCCAUCACUCCAUGAUGUACUGUGUGCUGAA